AGUGAACGCUGGCGGCAGGCCUAACACAUGCAAGUCGAACGGCAGCACAAGAGAGCUUGCUCUCUGGGUGGCGAGUGGCGGACGGGUGAGGAAUGCAUCGGAAUCUGCCCAUUUGUGGGGGAUAACCUCGGGAAACCGGGACUAAUACCGCAUACGACCUACGGGUGAAAGCAGGGGAUCUUCGGACCUUGCGCAGAUGGAUGAGCCGAUGCCGGAUUAGCUAGUUGGAGGGGUAAAGGCCUACCAAGGCGACGAUCCGUAGCUGGUCUGAGAGGAUGAUCAGCCACACUGGGACUGAGACACGGCCCAGACUCCUACGGGAGGCAGCAGUGGGGAAUAUUGGACAAUGGGCGCAAGCCUGAUCCAGCCAUGCCGCGUGUGUGAAGAAGGCCUUCGGGUUGUAAAGCACUUUUGUUGGGAAAGAAAAGCAGCCGGUUAAUACCCGGUUGUCAUGACGGUACCCAAAGAAUAAGCACCGGCUAACUUCGUG
rnacentral:rRNA from 1 species